AGCCGACCCCCCCUCAAUCUUUAACCAGGUUGACCUCGGAUCAGGUAGGGAUACCCGCUGAACUUAAGCAUAUCAAUAAGCGGAGGAAAAGAAACCAACCGGGAUUGCCCUAGUAACGGCGAGUGAAGCGGCAAGAGCUCAAAUUUGAAAGCUGGCCCCUGCGGGGUCCGCAUUGUAAUUUGCAGAGGAUGCUUCGGGAGCGGUCCCCAUCUAAGUGCCCUGGAACGGRMMRUCAUAGAGGGUGAGAAUCCCGUAUGGGAUGGGGUGCCCGCGCCCGUGUGAAGCUCCUUCGACGAGUCGAGUUGUUUGGGAAUGCAGCUCUAAUUGGGUGGUAAAUUUCAUCUAAAGCUAAAUAUUGGCCGGAGACCGAUAGCGCACAAGUAGAGUGAUCGAAAGAUGAAAAGCACUUUGAAAAGAGAGUUAAACAGCACGUGAAAUUGUUGAAAGGGAAGCGCUUGCGAUCAGACUCGCUCCCGGGGUUCAGCCGGCAUUCGUGCCGGUGUACUUCCCCGGGG
rnacentral:rRNA from 1 species